GGGCCCCUUUAAGGCUGUUGCAAUGCUUUAAGAGGCUAACACAGAAGGGUAAAGCUUUCUUUACCCUUUGGGUAAAACCCAAAGAAGAGAUUGUAAAACUUCUCUUUGGAUCCUGUCUGAAGUCACAGCU
ensembl:snoRNA